rnacentral:lncRNA from 1 species
AAUUGUAUCAAAUUUUAUUUAUAACUGGCCUUCUGAAAUACCGGGACAAUUGUAAAACAAUUCCACUGUUUUACCUCCCACCUCUGCACACCAGAUUCAUGCAAAAUAAGCUAGACUUCACAGCUCUUUCUCGACUUCUUUAAAAACAAAACGUUCAAAUAUGCUUAGUCAAAAGCCACCACAGCUUGGAAAUUAAUACUCUUUACUCAGUGUAAGCAUAUAAAUUUGGAUGAAUAUGAAUCAAAUUUAAAUCUCCUAUUCCCUAGCUUACUUUCAAUAACCAGGACUACACUGAUAAAAGAUAUGAUGCUUUUCUUAUCUUUAUAGAAGAUUUAACCAAAACCACUAAUUAUGUGUGUUU